CCUUACAUCAAGAUAAAAAUUAAGUUAAAUGAAUGUGUUGUUUCUUUAGGUAUCUUACAUAUACAUCCACACAGCGCAGGUAACAAACUCUGAAAUCAAGAUAAAAAUUAAGUUAAAUGCAUGUGUUGUUACUAUAGGAUCUUACAUAUGCAUCCACACAACGUAGGUAACAGACCCUUACAUCAAGAUAAAAAUUAAUUUAAAUGAAUAAGUUGUUUCUUUAGGUAUCUUACAUAUACAUCCACACAGCGCAGGUAACAUACCCUGAAAUCAAGAUAAAAAUUAAGUUAAAUGAAUGUGUUGUUUUUUUAGGUAUCUUAAAUAUACAUCCACACAGCGCAGGUAACAGACCCUUACAUCAAGAUAGAAAUUAAGUUAAAUGAAUGUGUUGUUUCUUUAGGUAUCUUACAUAUAAAUCCACACAGCGCAGGUAACAGACCCUUACAUCAAGAUAAAAAUUAAGUUAAAUGAAUGUGUUGUUUCUUUAGGUAUCUUACAUAUACAUCCACACAGCGCAGGUAACAUACCCUUACAUCAAGAUAAAAAUUAAUUUAAAUGAAUAAGUUGUUUCUUUAGGUAUCUUACAUAUACAUCCACACAGCGCAGGUAACAUACCCUUACAUCAAGAUAAAAAUUAAGUUCAUAUACAUCCACACAGCACAGGUAACAGACCCUUACAUCAAGAUAAAAAUUAAGUUAAAUGAAUGUUUUGUUUCUUUAGGUAUCUUAAAUAUACAUCCACACAGCGCAGGUAACAGACCCUGAAAUCAAGAUUAAAAUUAAGUUAAAUGAAUGGGUUGUUUCUUAAUGUAUCUAAUAUAUACAUACACAUAGCGCAGAAAACAAACCCUGAAAUCAUGGUAAAAAAUAAGUCAAAUGAAUGUGUUGUUUCUUUAGGUAUCUUACAUAUACAUCCACACAGCGCAGGUAACAGACCCUUACAUCAAGAUAGAAAUUAAGUUAAAUGAAUGUGUUGUUUCUUUAUGUAUCUUACAUAUACAUACACAUAGCGCAGGUAACACAUUAAACCCUGAAAUCAAGAUUAAAAUU
rnacentral:lncRNA from 1 species